GUGCUUGCUUCGGCAGCACAUACACUAAAAUUGUAAUGAUACAGAGAUUAGCAUGGCCCCUGCACAAGGAUAACAUGCAAAUUCAGGUCCAGUGGCCGAGAACU
ensembl:snRNA U6 U6 spliceosomal RNA